GCUGAAAGCAGUAUUUGCAGAGAAAGAUGUGUGGAACAUUCUUGGAGCCCUGCUGGAGCAGGAGACAAACAAAGCCCUCUGGUUCCUGAAGCAGUGUGUGACUCUCUUCAAGAGCCCACAGGUUCCCAUCCGCUGGGCAGCUGUGUGGUUUGCAGGCCAGAUUAUCCAAACCCUAGACUUGGAAGAGAUUGAUGAAAUUGAGGAGGCGUACACAGCCCUAAGGCACAUGCAGAGAGACUCUGACCCCAUGGUCAGCUGCCUCACCACACAGACUUUCUAUAUCCUGGAAGCCAAGAAGAAGCUGCUACUGGCCAAGGCCCCGACCUCCUGCUUCUGCAGGAGGAGGCCCCAAAGGCACUACUUCUGAGCCUGCAUCCUUGAGUCUCAGAUGUAGGCCUGACCAUCAGACCCUGUGACAAUGGGGCCAGAUUCCUGGGUCCUGCGCUAGAAAUGGAGGUAUAUCCCUGCAGAAUCUUUGUAAUAAAAGGAAAAAGCAU
rnacentral:lncRNA from 1 species